UGCACUCAGGCAUGUCAGAUGUACACGAACUUGUUUUGCCCCAUGCGGAGCCAGCAUUCUGCUCGCUAGAGGUUGAGCAUGAGAAGUAGACUGUCUUCUCAAGCAUGUUAGCUGGGAGUGUGCCAAUUUUGGCCCCAAGGAACACCUGUUCUGCACACUCCACAAAAUGGCCCUCGUGGCCAGCACUACUCAGACCUGUAGGCCGGGAAGAAGCUGGUUUUAGUCCAGAGCAGCAAGCAUUCCGCUCACCACACAAAACGCCAUUCAGACUAGAGCACAAGAAGUAGGAUGUCUACACAUUCCUGCUGGACAGAAGAGUGACUAUACUGGCCCAGAGCAG